CCGACCUCCCCAUCCCUCUACCCCCCCAGCAGAUUCCGCGUGAUGACCUCCAGAAAACGCUCCCCAGAAGGUUAGACCCAGAACAGCUCUGAGAAUGUAAUGGCGUCUCCAUCCCAAAGCUGCAAAAAAUCCUUCUACAGUUACGGCAAAGCACCAGUAUAGUCGGGUCCAUCGCAACAUCCUCCCAGCCUCUAGGACAAAUGUUCAUACUGGUUAAUUUUCUUUAGCUUCAAUCAAACUCUGGGACCAAAUGCAAUAUACGAAAGAGUUUAUUUUGGGGUCAAGUUGCAGAAGGAAGUAGUCCGUCACAUCAGAGAAGCAUAGCCGCCAGCAGCGAGCACUGUGUCGGGAGCAGGAAGCUGAGACCUCACACCUUCAGCCUCAAACAUGAAGCAGGGAAAGCAGCCUAGACAUAGGGUAAGGCUGUGAAUCCUUCACGCAUGCUCCCAGUGACACACGUCCUCCAGCGACUGCGCUAUCUUCUCCACGGCAACACCCACUGGGAACCGAGUGUUCAGAUGACUGAGACUUUCAGGGGACAUGCUCACCCAACACAGUGUCCAGAUGAUGGUGCUGGCUGAGGAGGUAGUGAGGGACUAAUAAUACAGUGAUCAAAGGGAGGGAGAAAUGGGGAGGCGUCAUUUAACCAGGGUAGAAUUUCUCUUUAACAAGACGAGAAAAGUUCAACAUUGUGGAUGUAUUUAAUGCUACAAAGUUGUACAUUUUAAAUUAUUGAGAUGGUUAAAUUUUAUAUGACUUUUUUAAUAAAAAAUUAUAUAAGUAGCACA